UACGUAGGUGACAAGCGUUGUCCGGAUUUACUGGGCGUAAAGAGCGCGCAGGCGGUCGAUCAAGUCGAGUGUGAAAGCCCCCGGCUCAACUGGGGAGGGUCAUUCGAUACUGAUCGACUCGAAGGCAGGAGAGGGUAGUGGAAUUCCCGGUGUAGUGGUGAAAUGCGUAGAUAUCGGGAGGAACACCAGUGGCGAAGGCGACCACCUGGCCUGUUCUUGACGCUGAGGCGCGAAAGCUAGGGGAGCAAACGGG
rnacentral:rRNA from 1 species